ACUGAAAUAAGUACCACAAACACAAAUAGAUAUCAGAAAAAAACUGUCAGAGAGAAAUUAAGCAUGCUGUUUUUGAAAAAAUUGUGAAAAAAGUGAAAAAGCUACAUUUUAGGCAUUUAACCUGAAAAGUGACUUUUUCACAAAAUUUCUAUCAAAUGAAAGUGAAAAUCAUUUCUUCUCAUAUAGUUUGACAAAUCAAUACCAAUAAAUCAUUCAGAAAAGAUGCCAAAGUAAAAAUUCAAAAUUUGCUGAAAUGCACCUCUUAGGCCACAGACCACAAUUAAUUCCUCUAUCAGUUCUUUAUAACCUUUUGAAUCAUUAAAAAAAUUGCACCAUGCACUUUUGUCAAUUUUUUUGUGUGUGUAAUGUAUUGUCCUAGUCCAAAUAUAUAUCCAAAAUUCAGAAAGAUUGAAGCAAUCACUUUUACAAAUUUAGCCAAUACACAUCCAUACCCCUAUUGACAAGUCAAGAGAUGUUCCAAAAACUGUAAAUAUCACCUUUUUGCACUUGACCUAAUCACUCAUUCCAUAUCAAAAUCAGUUAAAAUACAACCUCCAAAAAUUUAUUUGACCUCUCUUCUUUCAUUUCCACCCAAAAAGAUUUAAGGAAUGAGUGAGGAAAGGAAAGAAAAAAAAUUAAGGAAAAAUACACUCUAAUUAAAAGGAACUAUAUUCGUGGACAACGAAAAGCGGGGUCAUUAAUUGUGGUCUUGGGCCUAUUACAGUAAUUUGAUAAAAAUUGUAUAUUAAGGGCAUAUGAUAGAGUUGAUGUUGCUAAUGUAAAAUGUUAUUUUUGCCAUUCAAUGGGAGAUAACUCAUAAUUUACCUUUAUAAACAAUGGAAUAUAUUUAAAUUAUUAUUUUUGUGGAGUUGAAAAUUCAAUCAAUAAACUUAAGACUUACUGUUUUUGAUUUUAAUCUUUUAUAUUGAUUUUACAGUUAUUUAUGUUAUAGUAAGAAAUUGGAAUAAUGUUUGGUAAAUGUCAGGGAAAUUGAAAUAUAAAGUAUAUAAAUUGUAAAUUUUCAUAUAUUUCAGGUUUUUUUUGUGAGAUUUUUUCAUGGUGUGGGAAUAAGACUUGGAGGUCUAAUACAGCUAGUAUAUAGAUUAGCAUCAGCUUGUCUGUAAGGAUUGAGGCUGAUAAUGGCCAUUGGAGCUGAAUAAUAUGGUGACUUCAACUGUGGCUGCAGGAAAUUAUUGUGCAAUACAACUGAAACCAAAAAGAAUGUAAUUCAGACUAUUUUUGUGUAUGUUUUAAAAAAUGUUCAUAUUUUUUUACCAAAAAAAAAAUUUAAAAAUUGUAAAGAUUCUCCAUUUUCAACAAAGCUGGAAGUUGUUGGCUAAAUUGAUACUUCAUAAUUUUACAAUUUUACUUUUAGACCUACUCUUGAUAUCUUAAUUAUGGUCAAUGUGUUAUCAAACAUUUCCAGAA